rnacentral:rRNA from 1 species
AGCGGCAGCUAGCUCUCUGCAACUCUCACAUGGUCGCCCACUGAAGCUAAGCAGGGCUGCGCCCGGUCAGUACCUGGAUGGGAGACCACAUGGGAAAGCUAGGUUGCUGCCGGAA